GCAGAAGUGGUGGAAUAGGUAGACACGAGGGACUUAAAAUCCCUUGGUAGCAAUACCGUGAGGGUUCAAGUCCCUCUUUCUGCACCA
rnacentral:tRNA from 1 species